rnacentral:tRNA from 1 species
GGUACGGUGGCCAAGUGGAAAGGCGGGGGUCUGCAAAACCCCCACGCGCGGGUUCGAUUCCCGCCCGUACCU